rnacentral:tRNA from 1 species
GGUGGUUAAGAAUUUGGCUGCUAACCAAAAGGUUGGCAGGUCAAAUCUGCCAGCCACUG